GUUCUGUCUUCGGCCGAGGGGGGAUUCUGCCUACACGGUAUGAGUCUCGUUCCCUUUGGGUGUGCGGUGUCAAAGCCGUGCACUCCUAACGGUCGGACAAGUCCGUCGGAGUGUGGUUAUUGUUGGAAGGGCAACCGACCAAUGAGGCCACCGUAAUCGUUCGGGGUGCCUUUAAUCGGGUGUCUCGGGCGGCCGACAUAGUUUACUUUGAACAAAUUAGAGUGCUCAAAGCAGGUGACUACCGCCUGAAUAGUACAGCAUGGAAUGAUGAAAGAGGACCUCGGUCUGAUUUUGCUGGUCUUUAACGGUCGGGCUUCGGCCCGGCCUAUGCAGACCCGAGGUAAUGGUCAAUAGAGACGGACGGGGGCAUCCGUACUGCGGCGACAGAGGUGAAAUUCUUGGACCGCCGCAAGACGAACGACAGCGAAGGCAUUUGCCGAGAAUGUUUUCCUUGAUCAGGAACGAAAGUUAGAGGUUCGAAGGCGAUCAGAUACCGCCCUAGUUCUAACCAUAAACGAUGCCAACUAGCGAUCCGCCGGUGUUACUCCCAUGACUCGGCGGGCAGCUUCCGGGAAACCAAAGUCUUUGGGUUCCGGGGGAAGUAUGGUUGCAAAGCUGAAACUUAAAGGAAUUGACGGAAGGGCACCACCAGGAGUGGAGCCUGCGGCUUAAUUUGACCCAACACGGGAAACCUCACCAGGCCCGGACACUGGAAGGAUUGACAGAUUGAGAGCUCUUUUUUGAUUCGGUGGGUGGUGGUGCAUGGCCGUUCUUAGUUGGUGGAGCGAUUUGUCUGGUUAAUUCCGAUAACGAACGAGACUCUAGCCUGCUAAAUAGGUGCCGGGUUUUUACAUCUCCUCGCAAGGGGAGAGUGGAGUGUGUGGUUGUCGGGAUCCUGGGCUGUGGUGGUCGUUUAGGCUGCGGGGGGCAACUCUCGUGGUCUGGGCGGCUGUCAUAGUUCACCCGGUGUACGCACACUUCGCGUCCGGCAUUUUUCUUCUUAGAGGGACAAGCGGCGCCCAGCCGCGUGGCAGUGAGCAAUAACAGGUCUGUGAUGCCCUUAGAUGUCCUGGCCGCACGCGCGCUACACUGAAGGAAUCAGCGUGUUAUUCAUCCCUGUCUGAAAAGACCGGGCAACCGCUGAACCUCCUUCGUGGUUGGGAUUGGGGACUGCAAAGAUCCCCAUGAACCAGGAAUCCCUAGUAGGCGCGGGUCACUAGCCCGCGUCGAUUACGUCCCUGCCCUUUGUACACACCGCCCGUCGCUACUACCGAUUGAAUGAUUUAGUGAGAACUUCAGACGGCUAUGUUUGUCCGGGGCAACCCGCGCCGAGCAGGGCUGAAAGAUGUUCAAACUUGAUCCUUUAGAGGAAGUAAAAGUCGUAACAAGGUU
rnacentral:rRNA from 1 species